AUUGAACGCUGGCGGCAGGCCUAACACAUGCAAGUCGAACGAGAGGCGGACGGGUGAGUAAUGUCUGGGAAACUGCCUGAUGGAGGGGGAUAACUACUGGAAACGUUAGCUAAUACCGCAUACCAUCAGAUGUGCCCAGAUGGGAUUAGCUAUUUGGUGGGGUAACGGCUCACCAAGGCGACGAUCCCUAGCUGGUCUGCGAGGAUGACCAGCCACACUGGAACUGAGACACGGUCCAGACUCCUACGGUAGGCAGCAGUGGGGAAUAUUGAACAAUGGGCGCAAGCCUGAUGCAGCCAUGCCGCGUGUGUGAAGAAGGUCUUCGGGUUGUAAAGUACUUUCAUCGGGGAGGCGUUACCCGCAGAAGAAGCACCGGCUAACUCCGUGCCAGCAGCCGCGGUAAUUC
rnacentral:rRNA from 1 species